rnacentral:misc_RNA from 1 species
CACAGGUUCCUGCUGGUUCACAUGUGGCUUAAAUCUUCAGUUUGUUUUAGAUCUUAGUUUUGUUAAUAUUUGUUGAUUUGUUGGUGCAUUCUGAUGAAAUUAAUGCGUAUCUCCCCUAAUAAAAUUCUGUCAUUAUAUUUUCUAAAAUUUGAAAAUAAACAGAAAAAAAGCCCUUCUUUGGUAACAUUUUUGUGUAUUUUGAGAUUAUUUAUCAGAUUUCCUCUCUUGUUCUGCAGG